rnacentral:rRNA from 2 species
ACGUAGGGAGCAAGCGUUAUCCGGAUUUACUGGGUGUAAAGGGCGAGUAGGCGGAUUGGCAAGUUGGGAGUGAAAUGUCGGGGCUUAACCCCGGAACUGCUUCCAAAACUGUUGAUCUUGAGUGAUGGAGAGGCAGGCGGAAUUCCCAGUGUAGCGGUGAAAUGCGUAGAUAUUGGGAGGAACACCAGUGGCGAAGGCGGCCUGCUGGACAUUAACUGACGCUGAGGAGCGAAAGCGUGGGGAGCAAACAG